rnacentral:rRNA from 1 species
UACGAAGGGGGCUAGCGUGUUCGGAAUCACUGGGCGUAAAGGGCGCGUAGGCGGCUUUGUAAGUCGGGGGUGAAAGCCUGUGGCUCAACCACAGAAUUGCCUUCGAUACUGCAUGGCUUGAGACCGGAAGAGGUAAGUGGAACUGCGAGUGUAGAGGUGAAAUUCGUAGAUAUUCGCAAGAACACCAGUGGCGAAGGCGGCUUACUGGUCCGGUUCUGACGCUGAGGCGGCGAAAAGCGUGGGGAGCAAACAGG